AUAUAUAUAUGUGCAUAAACAAAAUACAGUAUUUCAGUAAGUAGUAGAAAGAGAGGCAUAACAACUAACACGACUGUCGAACUACACCAACUAGAACACUGGGACGUUAGAAUAUUUAGGCCAGAGGGAGAAAAGUUGAGAUGCACAGAGCGACUGAAAUCAGACCAUUUUUAGCUUUGCCAGCUCUCACCGAUGGAAACUCGAACAUCCCACCUUUUUUCAAGGCAGUGAACACACCACUCCAGCUCUUAAAAACCAUACUUUCAGAAAGUCUGACCUUUUAGCUUUUGACCUCUUUCUGUUAUGGAAAUGUUGGAUUUGAAAAUGUUUGGCAGCCUUCUAGAAAUCUCAAGAGGCUCUCCGUUCUCAGAAGCCGUGCUAAUCUCUAAUAUGAGAUGCUAAAAAGCAUUAGCAUUUCAAAUCAGAAAUCAAUUAGUCUUGUUUUGAAAUAACGGAAAACCUUAAAGCUACAAAAACGUCUUAUAAAGAGAAACUGUAGUCGGCUGAAAUUGGUGUCGGCAGGUCAAAGCUCAAUCGGUGCGCAUUCGUUAAAAAAGAGCGGGGUUUGGUACAUUUAUAACGAAUCAAAGGAGUAAAACUUGAAAGUCCCACAUUGAAUCGGGGCUCUUCAAUGUACAGGUAAACAAACUCACACUGAAUCAAGUAGGAAUCUGCCUCAAAGGCCAUAAAUAUAAAAAAAGGAUAAAAGUGGUUUAUGUUUCAGUUCACAUUAUAUCAUGCACUAGAAACCUAGGACUAACCAAACGUCUGCACGGUUCCUUAUUUCACACACGGUAGGAGGAGCAAGGGCAGCAUCAGAGAUGAAGAACAAUCCAAGUCUGACAUGCAGAGCCUUUAAAAAGUAUUCACACCCUCGGAUGUUUUUACCUACUUAUCGUUUAGCAAAUCAAUCAUGAGCAAAAAAAAAAUUAGACUUGUUUUUCACACACAAAAAAAACAACUCCUUUAACCUCAAAGUGAAAACUUGUUUCUACAAUUAAAUAAAUAAAAGUAUUUAACAUAAAACAAGUGAUUUCAUAAAUAUUCACUUGGUUCAAAGUGACUUGACUUCAGUUAACAGAGGUCCAGCCAGUACGAUUGUGAUUAGAGGAAUAGAAAUCACAUGAGUGAGGUGAGUUUGUGAAGCAAUUGCAAUACAAAGACACCCGGCUACCAUUACAGCAUGAAGACUAAAAAUUACAAGCAAAUCUGAAAAAAAAAAAUUGUUAAGACGCAUCAG